CUUUUUUCGAGAGUUCGAUCCUGGCUCAGGAUGAACGCUGGCGGCGUGCCUAACACAUGCAAGUCGAGCGGGCCUUAGAGAGUGAACAGCUUGCUGGGAUCUCUCGAAAGGUUAGCGGCGGACGGGUGAGUAACGCGUGGGUAACCUGCCUCAUACAGGGGGA
rnacentral:rRNA from 1 species